GUCCACGCCGUAAACGAUGAUAACUAGCUGUACGGGCUCAUGGAGUUUGGGUGGCGCAGCUAACGCAUUAAGUUAUCCGCCUGGGGAGUACGGUCGCAAGAUUAAAACUCAAAGGAAUUGACGGGGGCCUGCACAAGCGGUGGAGCAUGUGGUUUAAUUCGAAGCAACGCGCAGAACCUUACCAGCUUUUGACAUCCCGAUCGCGAUUACCAGAGAUGGUUUUCUUCAGUUCGGCUGGAUCGGUGACAGGUGCUGCAUGGCUGUCGU
rnacentral:rRNA from 1 species